UGAGUAACACGUAUCCAACCUGCCGUCUACUCUUGGACAGCCUUCUGAAAGGAGGAUUAAUACAAGAUGGCAUCAUGAGUCCACAUGUUCACAUGAUUAAAGGUAUUCCGGUAGACGAUGGGGAUGCGUUCCAUUAGAUAGUAGGCGGGGUAACGGCCCACCUAGUCUUCGAUGGAUAGGGGUUCUGAGAGGAAGGUCCCCCACAUUGGAACUGAGACACGGUCCAA
rnacentral:rRNA from 1 species